ACUCAACCUAUGUGGUAGAACUAGCAACAGAACAUAGAACUCAUGAUCCUACAUGGUACCCAUCAGCCUUGGUUCCCACGAGAGCAACCAUCCUUUGUGCGCCUAUCACCAUCCUCAAUAAAAUCAAUCACCAAAAAACUAUCACUCAACCUAUGUGGUAGAACUAGCAACAGAACAUAGAACUCAUGAUCCUACAUGGUACCCAUCAGCCUUGGUUCCCACGAGAGCAACCAUCUGUAUCCAAUUUCAGCUUAGCAAAGCAAGAAAAUAUUCCAUAAAUAAGCAACAGACCUAGGACGAGGUCAUCAUAAGCACCCUUCUCUUCUUAAUAUCAUGAAAAGAUACUGAUGUAGCUUCAAAAUCAUUUGUAAUGGCACCCAAGGCCAGGACCUUUUUGGGUUAGGUUAAGUUGGAUGUUAGCCAUACUCUAUAUUAGCAUUCAAUACUUUUCCAAAUAUCUCCAACCUCCACAAUCUGACCUGGCUUAAUGGAAACUCAUGUUACAACCUUAGUUUUAGCUAGAGUUAGGAUGGGUUGGUUAAGUUGGUAGAAUUAUUUUAUGUUGGUUAGGUUGAGAGGAGAACCAAAAUCAAUGUAUAUGGAUCAGUAUAUCAUUUUCAAGUUUGAUUUCUCAGCAAGUGGAUUCAAGGAAACCUUUUAAAUAAAAGUGGAUUCAAAGGCUAUUUGAUUUAUUUGUUAAGCAUUGUGGCUGAGUAUAUAAGGAUAUUUUAUGAGUUAUAAGUGUUCUGGGGUGUGGCAAUAUACAUUCAAUCCCUACUUUUAAGUUAUGACUCACAUAUAUAUAUGAAUUCUAUAUUAUGCAUUGUAUGUUUGCUGUUAUAUUAUAUAUAUAAACCAUGGUUUGAUUUGGUUGGGCUGACACCUUUAAGCAAGCACAAUCGGUUGGGGCUCUGAGGGGAAGUUUUAUUCUGAAGCUCAACCAUAAGCAUUGCAACUCUGACCCUAACCUGCCCAAAAUCAAAGUUGACUUAGUUUGGUUGGCAGUUGGCUCAAUGUAUUGAAGUUCUUAAGAGUUAGUACCUUUUAUAUGAAAUUUUAGCAUACUUGACAUGCUUUGUUGUUGGAUAACUAUCAACCUUGCUGAAAAUGCCCUAUGAUUCAACUAAUGCCCUUCAUGAUGCAUGUGUGAGUAUGCAGACAUAUACAUAUCCUUCAAUUCCUUUCAUUAUUAAAUGACAAACGCAUUGUGUCUUUAUUGGCUUAAUGUCCUUAUCUUAUUAUUUUGUGGACCUUGCCAAUAAAUAUAUAAGGUAUAUAUUUUUAAUUUACCCUCCUCUACUUUUAUAUUGUGUUUUCAUGUUUCAGUAUAAUUUGAAAAUCAAACCAAACAUGAAAUUUGAAAAUCAAAUUUGAACACCAGAGACAACGCUUAUGUUAGGUACCAGAUUCUUCUCAUGGAGAAAGAAAUUUUGGGAAAGCUGGACUGCUGGUAUUAACAUUUCCUACACUAUGCUUCCUUAUUUCGAUUUACUUUUUUUGGAACUUUUUAUGGGGUUAAUGUGUUAAUGAAUGGCCAUGAAAUGCAUGAGUUUGUACUGUAGAGAACUGUUUCAUAUAAUAGUUAACACGAUCUUCAUAUUGGGGAAAUGACUGUGAGAAAAACCUCGGCAUUUUCAACAAGAUGCCAAGGGGUCAGAUCCUGUUAUGGUUGAAAAAAAGAAUGGUUUAGUUUUAUUUUCUUUUGUUUACAUAUGCUCAAACCAUGCACACUGAUGACUUGUUACAUGUUAAGUAUGUUAAUUAUUCUUUUCAAACAUUUGCAAAUAUAUUAGCAGAGUUACCAAGGAGAGAGAAAGAAACAAAUAUUAAACCUGAUCCUGAUAUUGAUAUCUUCAUGAAGAUUGGAGAUUAGAGAAGGACAUGUUUGGUAAUCUGGAGAGCAAGAGCUUGCUCAU